rnacentral:tRNA from 1 species
GAAAUAAGUUUAUACAAGAAGAAGCUUCUAACUUCAAUCUUAAGCGAAUAAGAUCGUUUUUAUUUCU